rnacentral:lncRNA from 1 species
GAUGUAUUUGGACACAUCCUAGGAGUUGACCAGUAGUGUGCACCCCAGCUAUGGAACAGAGAUCAGAAGAGGACUGGCCUUGGAGCUGCUCCUCUCCGUGGAAAUGUUUACAGCCGGUGAAACUGGGGGUGCUGAGGGCAUAGCAGUGGAGAGUGGCGACCCUACCCCUCUCCAUCAGCUGAUUCCGCUCCUGCCUUGGCUCCUAGUGGCAUCAGAGGUCACCAGGGAAAUGGAUAGAUCUGAUGUGCUUUGGUGGAAAGGGAGCUGGACUCUCAGUGAUGAAGUUUAGUGCUUUGAGUUUUAUGUGUGAACCCUGCCACUCCUUUGCUAUGUGAGAGACUGAAGAAUUGGUGAGAAAAAAAAAUAAGAAAGAAAUAAGGGUAAGAUAAUGAAAUUCUGUCUGUCCUUACCUUAUGAUUUAUAUAGAGCUUUCUGUCUGUUGAAAAGCUUCUAGAAAAAGAUAGAUAUGAGCUG